UGGCUUACACACAGUUAACUUUACACCCAUCAGUCUGGCUUACACACAGUUAACUUUACACCCAUCAGUUUGGCUUACACACAGUUAACUUUACACCCAUCAGUCUGGCUAACACACAGUUAACUUUACACCCAUCAGUCUGGCUUACACACAGUUAACUUUACACCCAUCAGUCUGGCUUACACACAGUUAACUUUACACCCAUCAGUCUGGCUUACACACAGUUAACUUUACACCCAUCAGUUUGGCUUACACACAGUUAACUUUACACCCAUCAGUCUGGCUAACACACAAUUAACUUGCACAUGCAAACACACACACACACAUUAGUGUUGUUACGAUAUCAGAAUUUUGA
rnacentral:lncRNA from 13 species